rnacentral:rRNA from 1 species
GACAGAGGGUGCAAACGUUGUUCGGAAUUACUGGGCGUAAAGCGAGUGUAGGCGGUUUGGUAAGUCGGAUGUGAAAGCCCCGGGCUCAACCCGGGAAAGUGCACUCGAUACUGCCAAGCUAGAGUAUCGGAGAGGUUGGUGGAAUUCUCGGUGUAGAGGUAGAAAUUCGUAGAUAUACGAGAGGAACACCGGUGGCGAAAGG